rnacentral:rRNA from 1 species
GAAUUUUGGACAAUGGGCGAAAGCCUGAUCCAGCAAUGCCGCGUGUGUGAAGAAGGCCUUCGGGUUGUAAAGCACUUUUGUCCGGAAAGAAAUCCUUGGCUCUAAUACAGUCGGGGGAUGACGGUACCGGAAGAAUAAGCACCGGCUAACUACGUGCCAGCAGCCGCGGUAAUACGUAGGGUGCGAGCGUUAAUCGGAAUUACUGGGCGUAAAGCGUGCGCAGGCGGUUUGCUAAGACCGAUGUGAAAUCCCCGGGCUCAACCUGGGAACUGCAUUGGUGACUGGCAGGCUAGAGUAUGGCAGAGGGGGGUAGAAUUCCACGUGUAGCAGUGAAAUGCGUAGAGAUGUGGAGGAAUACCGAUGGCGAAGGCAGCCCCCUGGGCCAAUACUGACGCUCAUGCACGAAAGCGUGGGGAGCAAACAGGAUUAGAUACCCUGGUAGUCCACGCCCUAAACGAUGUCAACUAGUUGUUGGGGAUUCAUUUCCUUAGUAACGUAGCUAACGCGUGAAGUUGACCGCCUGGGGAGUACGGUCGCAAGAUUAAAACUCAAAGGAAUUGACGGGGACCCGCACAAGCGGUGGAUGAUGUGGAUUAAUUCGAUGCAACGCGAAAAACCUUACCUACCCUUGACAUGGUCC